rnacentral:rRNA from 1 species
UACGUAGGGUGCGAGCGUUGUUCGGAAUCACUGGGCGUAAAGGGCGUGUAGGCGGGAAGAUCAGUCUGGGGUGAAAGCCCGGAGCUCAACUCCGGAAGUGCUCCAGAAACUGUCUUUCUUGAGAAAGUUAGGGGUCGGCGGAAUUCCUGGUGUAGCGGUGAAAUGCGUAGAUAUCAGGAGGAACACCGGUGGCGAAAGCGGCCGACUGGGACUUUUCUGACGCUGAGGCGCGAAAGCAUGGGGAGCAAACAGG